AGAAAAAUGUGUCUUAUCAAAGAUCUCAAGCCUUACGGAGAUGAAUGGGGUCUGACUCUCAAAUUGCUUCAUUCCUGGAAACAAAACACCAGUUAUGGAGGAAAUACUCUUGAAUGCGUUCUGGUAGACCAAACAGGUGCUAAGAUACAGGCAUCAUGCAAAGGUUCUCAGAUGUUUCGUGUUCAACGUUACCUACCUAUUGGUGAAUGGAAGGUCGUUGACACCUUUAAAAUAACUGGGCAGGAGAUUAAAUCUGCCUAAUGGAAAGAGUCAUCCUCUGCUCUGUUGAUCUCUGUCAAGAGAUUAAAUCUGCAUAUCUAUUUCAAAUUCAAACAAAAAUAUUUGUAAAAAUUCAUAAUAUGAAUUUCACAUGAAGGAAUAUUGUGAUGGUAACUUCGAAAAUAACUUACGCUUUUUAUAUAUCGCCUUUGAUA